rnacentral:rRNA from 1 species
GACGAACGCUGGCGGCGUGCUUAACACAUGCAAGUCGAACGCUGAAGACCUGGCUUUUGUUGGGUUGGAUGAGUGGCGAACGGGUGAGUAACACGUGAGUAACCUGCCCUCUUCUUUGGGAUAACGCCCGGAAACGGGUGCUAAUACUGGAUAUUCACUGAUCUUCGCAUGGGGGUUGGUGGAAAGGUUUGUUCUGGUGGGGGAUGGGCUCGCGGCCUAUCAGCUUGUUGGUGGGGUGAUGGCCUACCAAGGCUUUGACGGGUAGCCGGCCUGAGAGGGUGACCGGUCACAUUGGGACUGAGAUACGGCCCAGACUCCUACGGGAGGCAGCAGUGGGGAAGAUUGCACAAUGGGCGAAAGCCUGAUGCAGCGACGCCGCGUGAGGGAUGGAGGCCUUCGGGUUGUAUACCUCUUUCGCUCAUGGUCAAGCCGCAACUGUGGGUUGUGGUGAGGGUAGUGGGUAAAGAAGCGCCGGCUAACUACGUG